GACGAACGCUGGCGGCGUGCCUAAUACAUGCAAGUAGGACGCAGUUGCGCACGGGUGAGUAACGCGUAGGUAACUACCUAUUAGAGGGGGGUAACUCUUGGAAACACUAGCUCAUACCGCAUACUCGUAGAUGGACGUGCGUUGUAUUUGGUAGUAAGUAGGGUAACGGGCUACCUAGGCAACGAUACAUAGCCGACCUGAGGGGGUGGAUGGCCCCACCUGGACUGAGACACGGCCCAGACUCCUUCGGGAGGCAGGAGGAGGGAAUCCUCGGGAAUGGGGCGAAACCCGACCGAGCAACGCCGGGGUAGUGAAGAAGGUUUUCGGAUCGUAAAGCUUUUUUGUUAAGGAAGCGGUACUUAACCAGAAAGGGACGGCUAACUACGUGCCAGCAGCCGCGGUAAUUC
rnacentral:rRNA from 1 species